AACGGAAGAGGGAGAGGAAGCGGAAGGGCGUCACGGGUGACGCCGCCAUUCCACCAUGGCGGCCCUGGAGGCCGCGGCCGCUGCCGCCCCGGGGUUGCUGGGCGUCCUAUGGCUCCUGUCUGUGACCGUGAGCGCGGGACCGUGGGGGGCAGCGGCCGCUGCCGCGGGGGGCGACGAGACGGUCAAGUGCGAGGACCUGAGAGUGGGACAAUAUUUUUGUAAAGAUCCUGAAAUCAAUGAGGCCACCCAAGAACCUGUUAACUGUACAAAUUACACAGCUCAUGCUUCGUGUUACCCAGCACCCAACAUAACCUGUAAGGAUUUUAGUGGCAAUGAAACGCAUUUUACUGGACAUGAGAUUGGUUUUUUCAAGGCAAUCCCUUGCCGUAAUGUAAACGGCUAUUCCUACCGGGUGGCAGUUGCCCUCUCUCUGUUUCUUGGCUGGUUAGGAGCAGACAGGUUUUACUUGGGAUACCCUGCUUUAGACCACCUAGGCAGCCUAGGACUGGAUCUUGAACCCAGGAGCCUUGGGAAUAGCAUUGCCCUCAAACCACCAGACCUGCUAUCAGUCCAACCUCCAUAGCCAUCAUUGAGGGGGAAAAUCAUUGUGGAGAAGGAGCGUACCGUGCCCAUUACCACCAGCAACAACCUGUGACCAUCAGCAGACAUAGAUCAUCACAAGUCACCCCAUUCCUGUGGUCCUGCUUCUAGCCUAGCCUUCAGCCAUUAUCCAGAGAAACAACAUUGUGGAGAAGAAGCCAGCUGUCCUCACCAUCUGCCACCUACAAGGCUGGCUGGCCAACCUAACCGAAGCAGCAAGACCUUUGAAGGGAAAGGGGGGCUGCAGACCCAGCUGCUGAAGACUCAAAAGGAAGUGCUUGGCCCUGUCCAGGGACUCAAAAUCAGAAAACAAUGAGAUUUUAGCAGUGAAAAUGAAAUGAAAGAAAAGACUUUCAUCUGCUUUGCUCUUGAACCCUAAGGACUAUGGGACUUUUCCAUCUGAUUUAUAGUUAGAACCUCCCAGGUUUGUUAAAAUUUUGCACUGUAGGAUUUUGUGGGAUUGGCAGUCUGAUAGACUUUAUUCUCAUUUCAAUGCAG